rnacentral:rRNA from 1 species
CCCAAUAGUUCACAUAGACGGCGCUGUUUGGCACCUCGAUGUCGGCUCAUCUCAUCCUGGAGGGGGAGCACCUUCCAAGGGUCCGGCUGUUCGCCGGUUAAAGAGGUACGUGAGCUGGGUUCAGAACGUCGUGAGACAGUUCGGUUUAUAUCCGCUGUGGACGAUAGGAAAUUUGAGAGAAUCUGCCCCUAGUACGAGAGGACCGGGGUGGACGCACCGCUGGUGUAUCGGUUGUUCUACCAAGAGCAUUGCCGAGUAGCUAUGUGCGGAAUAGAUAAGCGCUGAAAGCAUAUUAAGCGCGAAACUAGUCUCAAGAUUAGAUUUCCCUAUGAGGACACUGAAAGACGAUCAGUUUGAUAGGCGCAAGGUGGAAGUACGGUAACGUAUGGAGCCGAAGCGUACUAAUAGUCCCAUUGACUUUUUACG